GGGGGGCUGCCUAUACUGCAAGUCGAGCGAAUGGAUUAAGAGCUUGCUCUUAUGAAGUUAGCGGCGGACGGGUGAGUAACACGUGGGUAACCUGCCCAUAAGACUGGGAUAACUCCGGGAAACCGGGGCUAAUACCGGAUAACAUUUUGAACCGCAUGGUUCGAAAUUGAAAGGCGGCUUCGGCUGUCACUUAUGGAUGGACCCGCGUCGCAUUAGCUAGUUGGUGAGGUAACGGCUCACCAAGGCAACGAUGCGUAGCCGACCUGAGAGGGUGAUCGGCCACACUGGGACUGAGACACGGCCCACACUCCUACGGGAGGCAGCAGUAGGGAAUCUUCCGCAAUGGACGAAAGUCUGACGGAGCAGCGCCGCGUGAGUGAUGAAGGCUUUCGGGUCGUAAAACUCUGUUGUUAGGGAAAAACAAGUGCUACUUGAAUAAGCUGGCACCUUGACGGUACCUAACCAGAAAGCGACGGCAAAAUACGUGCCAGCAGCGGCGGUGUUACUUAGGUGGCAAGCGUUAUCCGGAAUUAUUGGGCGUAAAGCGCGCGCAGGUGGUUUCUUAAGUCUGAUGUGAAAGCCCACGGCUCAACCGUGGAGGGGUCAUUGGAAAACUGGUAAAACUUCGACUGCAGAAGGAGGAAAGUCGAAAUUCCAUGUUGUCCCGGUGAAAUUGCCUAGAGAGUACGGACGGGGGUCCCUUGGCCAAAUUCGACUUUCCAGGUUUGUAACCCGACACUGGUGGCUCAAAAACCUGGGGGAUCACCCUUGGAAACAGAUUGCCCGGUAAUACACCCCGGCAAUUGAUAAGUGCCAAAUGGUAAUACGGU
rnacentral:rRNA from 1 species